rnacentral:rRNA from 1 species
UCCAGGUGGUUUUGUUAAGUCAGAUGUGAAAGCCCGGGGCUCAACCUUCGGAAUUGCAUUUGAAACUGGCAAACUAGAGUACUGUAGAGGGGGGUAGAAUUUCAGGUGUAGCGGUGAAAUGCGUAGAGAUCUGAAGGAAUACCGGUGGCGAAGGCGGCCCCCUGGACAGAUACUGACACUCAGAUGCGAAAGCGUGGGGAGCAAACAGGAUUAGAUACCCUGGUAGUCCACGCCGUAAACGAUGUCUACUUGGAGGUUGUGGCCUUGAGCCGUGGCUUUCGGAGCUAACGCGUUAAGUAGACCGCCUGGGGAGUACGGUCGCAAGAUUAAAACUCAAAUGAAUUGACGGGGGCCCGCACAAGCGGUGGAGCAUGUGGUUUAAUUCGAUGCAACGCGAAGAACCUUACCUACUCUUGACAUCUACAGAAGCCAGCGGAGACGCAGGUGUGCCUUCGGGAACUGUAAGACAGGUGCUGCAUGGCUGUCGUCAGCUCGUGUUGUGAAAUGUUGGGUUAAGUCCCGCAACGAGCGCAACCCUUAUCCUUGUUUGCCAGCACUUCGGGUGGGAACUCCAGGGAGACUGCCGGUGAUAAACCGGAGGAAGGUGGGGACGACGUCAAGUCAUCAUGGCCCUUACGAGUAGGGCUACACACGUGCUACAAUGGCGCAUACAGAGGGCAGCCAACUUGCGAAAGUGAGCGAAUCCCAAAAAGUGCGUCGUAGUCCGGAUUGGAGUCUGCAACUCGACUCCAUGAAGUCGGAAUCGCUAGUAAUCGUGGAUCAGAAUGCCACGGUGAAUACGUUCCCGGGCCUUGUACACACCGCCCGUCACACCAUGGGAGUGGGCUGCAAAAGAAGUGGGUAGUUUAACCUUCGGGAGGACGCUCACCACUUUGUGGUUCAUGACUGGGGUGAAGUCGUAACAAGGUAACCG